UAUACGGCGAAACUGCGAAUGGCUCAUUAAAUCAGUUAUUGUUUAUUUGAUAGCACCUUACUACAUGGAUAACCGUGGUAAUUCUAGAGCUAAUACAUGCUAAAAAUCCCGACUUCGGAAGGGAUGUAUUUAUUAGAUUAAAAACCAAUGCCCUUCGGGGCUCUCUGGUGAUUCAUGAUAACUUCUCGAAUCGCACGGCCUUGCGCCGGCGAUGGUUCAUUCAAAUUUCUGCCCUAUCAACUUUCGACGGCUGGGUCUUGGCCAGCCAUGGUGACAACGGGUAACGGAGGGUUAGGGCUCGACCCCGGAGAAGGAGCCUGAGAAACGGCUACUACGUCCAAGGAAGGCAGCAGGCGCGCAAAUUAACCAAUCCCGACACGGGGAGUUAGUGACGAUACAUACUGAUACAGGGCUCUUUUGGGUCUUGUAAUCGGAAUGAGUACAAUUUAAACCUCUUAACGAUCAACAAUUGGAGGGCAAGUCUGGUGCCAGCAGCCGCGGUAAUUCCAGCUCCAAUAGCGUAUAUUAAAGUUGUUGCAGUUAAAAAGCUCGUAGUUGAACCUUGGGCCUGGCUGGCCGGUCCGCCUCACCGCGUGCACUGGUCCGGCCGGGCCUUUCCCUCUGGGGAACCUCAUGCCCUUCACUGGGUGUGCUGGGGAACCAGGACUUUUACUUUGAACAAAUCAGAUCGCUUAAAGAAGGCCUAUGCUCGAAUAUAUUAGCAUGGAAUAAUAGAAUAGGACGCGUGGUUCUAUUUUGUUGGUUUCUAGGACCGCCGUAAUGAUUAAUAGGGACAGUCGGGGGCAUCAGUAUUCAAUUGUCAGAGGUGAAAUUCUUGGAUUUAUUGAAGACUAACUACUGCGAAAGCAUUUGCCAAGGAUGUUUUCAUUAAUCAGGAACGAAAGUUAGGGGAUCGAAGACGAUCAGAUACCGUCGUAGUCUUAACCAUAAACUAUGCCGACUAGGGAUCGGACGAUGUUAUUCAUUGACUCGUUCGGCACCUUUCACGAAAGUAUAA
rnacentral:rRNA from 1 species